rnacentral:misc_RNA from 1 species
AAUUCCCAACCAUUUCAGCUUUUUCUAGCUGAUUUAGGCUUGGAUGUGGGAGUUUGCGGGCUUCUCUGAAGUCGGCUCUCCUUAAAUAUAUUAGUAGGGACCUCUGUUGCCUCAGCUCUUGGUGUGAUAGUUAUCUACGCCAUUCUGCGAAGCAGCUUUAAAAUGGGGUUACUGCUUUCUAACAGUCUCUACCGAGACAACUUCUGACA